UCGAUCGCAUCAGGUUAUUUCCGCCUUCCAGCUAUCAUACUUGAUAGUCAGUCCUUGGCUACCUCGGGCAUCUGCUCAUAUUUAAUCUGGGGAAACUGGAAAGUGGAUUGGAGCCAUCCUUGAGACCCGGCCCCCGAGACCUUCCCUGCAGCGCGAUCCAGCUACGCCAUUGUGCACCUGUUUUCUGCUGAGUCUCACUUGUCACUGUGCCCGAGGUCCCCAUUACAGCAACUCCAGUCACAGCCUCUCCAGAAGGUAAACCUUUAAGUUCAGCGAGGCUGGAUGAACACAUCCAAGGAGGGGUCCAGCUGCUCCUGCAGCAUCCUGGACUCCGUUAUUCCUGG